AGGAUCCGGCUGUUUGUUUGGGCCUGGCUCCUGUUACCAAGGCUGCCAGAGGCUGCUCGUGGCCUGCGCCGCAGCGGCGGCUGUGGGUGGAGGAGGCCCCCAGAGAGGCUUGGGAACCCCCAUCCUCCCACCCGGCCUCUCCACUCAGCUUUUCCACAGCCCUUGCAGCUGCGGCUGUGCCAGGCCGGGGGCCAAAGGGGGGGUCGGGCGCUGCCGCUGGCUUUGGCCUCGCUGAUGAGUCACCGGCCUCGCAGGAAAUGGCGAAGGCUGCGGCUUGGGGCCGUGCUGGCAGCUGCUGCCUGCGCUCGGCAGCAGCCGAGGCUCCCUGGCACGGUGGCACUGGGCUGUGGCACGAGGGGGGGCAGGACGUGGGGGAUCUCCCCCCUUGGCGUGCGGAUGCUCAGCCCUGGUUUCUGGCCCCAGCCCCAGCCCCAGUGCUGCAGUUUGGAGCCUGUCGGGGUCCCAUCGGCUGGGACUGGGGUCCCGAGUGGGGUGAGCGCAGGGGGAGCAGCGCAGGCACCCCAAAGAAAGCUCUCUGCCUGCGUCCCAGCCGUGUUUCCUGCUCCGUCUCGCCUGGUGCUAAUCGCCCCGGCCCUGCCUGUCCUGCAUGCAAUCGGUCCCCUCCUGCCCCUUAUCUCGGCAGCACAGAUGGGAUGCGAGCAGCACGUGGGGCUGAUCCGUGGGGCAGAGCCGUGGGGUUGGCCCAGGCCGUGCCCAGCCCUACCCCAUGAGCUGCUCUUGCACCGCAGCCCCACGGUGCGGUGCUCCCCCUGUGCAGGCUGGCAGGGCCGUGCCGGGCUGCAGCCCCCUCCUGGUACGGGGCGGGGGGGACAGCAGCGGCCCCCGGCCCCCCAGCUCCCCUCACUGUGCCGUGCCGUGCCGUGCCGUGCCGUGCCUGCCAGGCCAGGCCCUUUGGUCCCGCUGCGAGCUCUUGGCACGCAGCGGCUCCGGGAUGUAGGGGACCCCCGGGUGAGCCCCAGGGUGGGCUCGUCCGCGGCGGCAGCGGCCGGCCGGGGGCAGGAAGAGCCGGGUCUGGCAGCGGCCCUGGGCUGUGUGAGUCACCGCGUCCCACGGUUCCCCUCCAGAUGCGGGAGCGCGCGGAGCAGAGCGCAGCACGGCCGUCUCCGGCGAGGCAGGGCCCGACGAUGCUGCGCCGCCUCUGCUGCUGCUGCUGCUGCUGCUGCGAGCGGCAAGGCAGGUGCCAGGGGUCCGGUGGCAUCCCCCCAGCCCGGGGCUGCCAUCCCUGUGGGGUCGCCUCCGGCGCAGCUCCGCUCACCCCCGUGUGCCUGGGGGGCACAGAGGGGGCAUCUGCGC
rnacentral:lncRNA from 1 species